rnacentral:rRNA from 1 species
GACGAACGCUGGCGGCGUGCUUAACACAUGCAAGUCGAACGGGCCUGUCUUCUUUUUUGGGGGGUGGGUUGAGUGGCGAACGGGUGAGUAUCACGUGAGUAACCUGCCCUUCGGUCCUGGAUAACCGCUUGAAAGGGCGGCUAAUACGGGGUGGUCCGGUUGGUCCGCAUGGGCUGGUCGGAUAGAUUCACUGUUUUUGGUGUUUCGGCGGGGGAUGGGCUCGCGGCCUAUCAGCUUGUUGGUGGGGUGAUGGCCUACCAAGGCGGUGACGGGUAGCCGGCCUGGGAGGGGGGGCGGCCACAUUGGGACUGAGAUACGGCCCAGACUCCUGCGGGAGGCAGCAGUGGGGGGUAUUGCACAAUGGGCGGAAGCCUGAUGCAGCGACGUCGCGUGAGGGAUGGAGGCCUUCGGGUUGUGAACCUCUGUUUCCGGUGGUGAAGGCCCUGUCCGUGUGGUGGGGUUGACGGUAGCCGGGGAUGAAGCGCCGGCUAACUACGUG